AGCUUGGCAAGCUCAGAAUCUUGUUUUGCUUGAUGCUCUUCCGUCUGUGCCCUCUCCAGAUUGAGCUUUAGCUCUUCAAUAAGCCUCUUAGUGCUGUCCAGCUCCUUAAGAACUUGNNNNNGCCAGUUCAGCAUCCUCCGACUUUUUCCUGUACUCAGGCAUUUCCUUCUGUACCUGCUCUAGCUCUUGCUCCACAAGCUUGCGUCUCUCAACAGUUUGUAUUUUGUGGGCUUUCCAAUCUACAAUUCCUCCAAACUUGGA
rnacentral:misc_RNA from 1 species